UGCCACCUGUAAUACAUAAGUGGUACAUCCUGCCCAGUGAUUUAUUAAACGGCCGCGGUAUCCUGACCGUGCAAAGGUAGCAUAAUCAUUUGCCUAUUAAUUGUAGGCUAGUAUGAAUGGACAAACGCGGAUCUAGCUGUCUCCUUUAAGUGUAUAAAAAUUUAUCUCUAAGUGAAGAAGCUUAGAUAAUCUCGCAGGACAAGAAGACCCUAUAGAGCUUUACCUUUAAUCUUAAAAAUAAAAGAAAUACGGUUCGGUUGGGGCGACCAAGGAACAUUAAACAUCCUGUAAUUAUUAGAUUAACCAAUCUCAAUAAAGAUCCUUAUUUAAGAUCAUAGAAUCUAGCUACCUUAGGGAUAACAGGCUAAUUCCUCUAGAGAGCCCAUAUUGACAGAGGAGAUUGGCACCUCGAUGUUGGCUUAGGAUUUCUUUAUGAUGCAGCAGUCAUAAUCAGAUGGUUUGUUCAACCAUUAAAUUCCU
rnacentral:rRNA from 1 species